GCCUUCGUAGUGUAAACGGUAGCACGCUGGGCUGGCAUUCCAGAGGUCCGUGGUUCGAUUCCCGGCGAAGGCG
rnacentral:tRNA from 1 species